AAGGUCCCCCACAUUGGUACUGAGACACGGACCAAACUCCAACGGGAGGCAGCAGUGAGGAAUAUUGGUCAAUGGCCGAGAGGCUGAACCAGCCAAGUCGCGUGAGGGAUGAAGGUUCUAUGGAUCGUAAACCUCUUUUAUAAGGGAAUAGAGUGCGGGACGUGUCCCGUUUUGUAUGUACCUUAUGAAUAAGGAUCGGCUAACUCCGUGCCAGCAGCCGCGGUAAUACGGAGGAUCCGAGCGUUAUCCGGAUUUAUUGGGUUUAAAGGGUGCGUAGGCGGCCCCUUAAGUCAGCGGUGAAAGUCUGUGGCUCAACCAUAGAAUUGCCGUUGAAACUGGGAGGCUUGAGUAUGUUUGAGGCAGGUGGAAUGCGUGGUGUAGCGGUGAAAUGCAUAGAUAUCACGCAGAACCCCGAUUGCGAAGGCAGCCUGCCAAGCCAUUACUGACGCUGAUGCACGAAAGCGUGGGGAUCAAACAGGAUUAGAUACCCUGGUAGUCCACGCAGUAAACGAUGAUCACUAGCUGUUUGCGAUACACUGUAAGCGGCACAGCGAAAGCGUUAAGUGAUCCA
rnacentral:rRNA from 1 species